rnacentral:snRNA from 1 species
UUGCAUUCACUUUGGCAGCAUAGAUGCUAAAAUUGGAACAUCACAGAGAAGAUGAGCAUGGCCUCUCUGCUAGAGUGGCAUAGACAUUUUUGAAGUGUUCCAUAUUUUU